rnacentral:rRNA from 1 species
UACGUAGGGGGCUAGCGUUGUCCGGAUUUAUUGGGCGUAAAGAGCGUGUAGGCGGCCAGGUAGGUCUGCUGUGAAAACUCGAGGCUCAACCUCGAGACGUCGGCGGAAACCAUCUGGCUAGAGUCCGGAAGAGGAGAGUGGAAUUCCUGGUGUAGCGGUGAAAUGCGCAGAUAUCAGGAGGAACACCGGUGGUGUAGACGGCUUUCUGGUCCAUUACUGACGCUGAGGUGCGAAAGCGUGGGGGAGCAAACAGG